rnacentral:rRNA from 1 species
AUUGAACGCUGGCGGCAUGCCUUACACAUGCAAGUCGAACGGCAGCAUGGGUGCUUGCACCUGAUGGCGAGUGGCGAACGGGUGAGUAAUGCAUCGGAACGUGCCCUGAAGUGGGGGAUAACGUAGCGAAAGUUACGCUAAUACCGCAUAUUCUGUGAGCAGGAAAGCAGGGGAUCGCAAGACCUUGCGCUUUAGGAGCGGCCGAUGUCGGAUUAGCUAGUUGGUGGGGUAAAGGCCUACCAAGGCGACGAUCCGUAGCGGGUCUGAGAGGAUGAUCCGCCACACUGGGACUGAGACACGGCCCAGACUCCUACGGGAGGCAGCAGUGGGGAAUUUUGGACAAUGGGCGCAAGCCUGAUCCGGCCAUGCCGCGUGAGUGAAGAAGGCCUUCGGGUUGUAAAGCUCUUUCGGCAGGGAAGAAAUCGCAUUCGCUAAUACCGGAUGUGGAUGACGGUACCUGCAUAAGAAGCACCGGCUAACUACGUGCCAGCCGCCGCAGUAAAAC